rnacentral:lncRNA from 1 species
UUAUCAACCGAUGAGGUUUGAGUUCCCUGAUGAGGACAUCUCGAGGUGCUCUAAUCGAAAGAUUGAGAGUAACCGAUCCCGGAGGAGGGGCCUGACCCUGAAUCCGAACGGAUUCUGAUGUCUGAUGGGGAGGUUAAGGUGAAUGAGCUUUCGUUUCUAGGUUACCAUUCGAAUGUACCGACAGUAUGGGCAAGUGUGAAG